CUGCGCGCUAUCCACCAGGCUACGAGGCCCCCUACCCUUCAGGUGGCUUAUUUCUCAGUUAUAGUGAUAUAACAUCUCCAGCUCUCUGAACCCCUCCGAGGAGACUGGGUUUGGGUCUCUGCUGUAACAGGAUGUAUGAGGAUCAAUAUGGUUGGCUAGCAACAGAGAGCCACCAAGGACCCAUUAGAAAGAGAUGUUUCAUUAUAUUCAGUGCCAAGUUUUGUAAUUUUGUUUACGUUUUGUAUGUAAAUUUAUCAUUUUAUAAGUGUUUUGCACAACCAGGAGAGUGACACCAUUUAUUAGUCACUUUCAGAAUGUUAAUGUACUUAAGUUAAUUGUAAAGUUAAUAGUGCACCUAAAUUAAUUCUUAACAAUCAUUGACAACAAAGGGUUGGAAAUGCGUUGUCACGUUAGAUAUUUGAAGAGUCACAUAAUGGUGCAUACUGGUGAGAACUUUAUGAGGAUCUCGGGUAAAAGAACCAGCGAGCCUUUUGCAGUGUCUUCCAUUCCUUUGCAAAGGAACAUAUUAGCGUGUGAGGGUAUCCUGUAAUCCAAACAUUUAAUAUCUUUACUUACUAUGGAUGAAAGUACAAAAUAUAGAUAGCUUAUUUAGACCUAGGGCAGGUUUAUAUAGAUAGCUUAUUUAGACCUAGGGCAGGUUUAUAUAGAUAGCUUAUUUAGACCUAGGGCAGGUUUAUGUUAGGUUUAGGGUUGGUCUGUUCCACAUUUUUUGGCAUGCCUUUUAGUAUUAUAAAUUGUAAAAAAUAUGAAUUGUAUUCUUUUGGUAGAACAUAACAUACUUUGUACAUUCUAGCCACAGUGACCAUGGAUUCCUUUAUUGUUGGAGGAUGAGUUGGUACAGGUGAUAACCUCAUAGAUAACAGGUGAUAUCAACGAGUUGGUACAUGUGAUAACCUCAUAGAUGACAGGUGAUAUCAAUGAGUUGGUACAGGUGAUAACCUCACUCACUAGUGUCAUAAGUUUUUGUAGUACUGUGUAUUAGAUAUAAAUAGGAUAUCAAUUUCUGCAAUUCCAAUGUAUUACAGUACUGUGUUUAGUAACCAUGAGCUUCAGCUUGACUCCCUAUUGAGGUAGUUUUUCUUCAUAUUAUAUAUGAAGAAAAUAGCCUAUACUUGGCCACAACAUUUACUUCAAAGUUGAAAGGCAAAGGUCAUUAGCAUGUAACAUUUAAUCCAUAUGUUCUAUUGUUAGAUAUACAAACACAUUCAUGUUUCUCACCCCCCAGGAAGAUCAACUGAAAUUCAAGCAUAGUUUUUACAUAUAAGCCUAAUUUUAAUAAACUGUUACUUUUA